GCUCAAAUUUGAAAUCUUAAAGGGUUUCCCUUUACGAAUUGUAGUUUAAAGAAGUGUUUUCUGUUGAGGUUUUGGUAAAAGUUCUUUGGAAUAGGACAUCAUAGAGGGUGAGAAUCCCGUAUUUGACCUUUACUUUCAACUUUGUGAUACACUUUCAAAGAGUCGGAUUGUUUGGGAAUGCAGUCCAAAAUGGGUGGUAAAUUUCAUCUAAAGCUAAAUAUUGGCGAGAGACCGAUAGCGAACAAGUACCGUGAGGGAAAGAUGAAAAGGACUUUGAAAAGAGAGUUAAACAGUACGUGAAAUUGUCAAAAGGGAAGCGUUUGACACCAGUGUUGUUUUUCUGAAAAUCAAUUAAAGAACUGUUUAUGCUAAGUUGUUUAGACUUUAUCAGCUAACUGUUUAGUUUUGAGCUUUUCUUUAAUGCACUUUUCGUUUAACAAG
rnacentral:rRNA from 1 species